UGGGGAAUAUUGGACAAUGGACCAAGAGUCUGAUCCAGCAAUUCUGUGUGCACGAUGAAGUUUUUCGGAAUGUAAAGUGCUUUCAGUUGGGAAGAAAAAAAUGACGGUACCAACAGAAGAAGUGACGGCUAAAUACGUGCCAGCAGCCGCGGUAAUACGUAUGUCACAAGCGUUAUCCGGAUUUAUUGGGCGUAAAGCGCGUCUAGGUGGUUAUGUAAGUCUGAUGUGAAAAUGCAGGGCUCAACUCUGUAUUGCGUUGGAAACUGUGUAACUAGAGUACUGGAGAGGUAAGCGGAACUACAAGUGUAGAGGUGAAAUUCGUAGAUAUUUGUAGGAAUGCCGAUGGGGAAGCCAGCUUACUGGACAGAUACUGACGCUGAAGUGCGAAAGCGUGGGUAGCAAACAGGAUUAGAUACCCUGGUAGUCCACGCCGUAAACGAUGAUUACUAGGUGUUGGGGGUCGAACCUCAGCGCCCAAGCAAACGCGAUAAGUAAUCCGCCUGGGGAGUACGUACGCAAGUAUG
rnacentral:rRNA from 1 species